rnacentral:tRNA from 1 species
GCGCGCCCCCGAAGGGCAAACUCUUUCCGUGCUUGAAUUGCGGAGCGAAGGUCGAGUUCGAUCCGCGUGAGCGCGCAC